rnacentral:rRNA from 1 species
UCGGGAAUUUUGGGCAAUGGGCGAAAGCCUGACCCAGCAACGCCGCGUGAAGGAUGAAGUAUUUCGGUAUGUAAACUUCGAAAGAAUAGGAAGAAUAAAUGACGGUACUAUUUAUAAGGUCCGGCUAACUACGUGCCAGCAGCCGCGGUAAUACGUAGGGACCAAGCGUUGUUCGGAUUUACUGGGCGUAAAGGGCGCGUAGGCGGCAAUUCAAGUCAUCUGUGAAAUCUCCGGGCUUAACUCGGAACGGUCAGAUGAUACUGCUUUGCUAGAGUGCAGAAGGGGCAAUCGGAAUUCUUGGUGUAGCGGUGAAAUGCGUAGAUAUCAAGAGGAACACCUGAGGUGAAGACGGGUUGCUGGGCUGACACUGACGCUGAGGCGCGAAAGCCAGGGGGAGCAAA